rnacentral:rRNA from 1 species
AUUGAACGCUGGCGGCAGGCCUAACACAUGCAAGUCGAGCGGAUGACAGGAGCUUGCUCCUGGAUUCAGCGGCGGACGGGUGAGUAAUGCCUAGGAAUCUGCCUGGUAGUGGGGGACAACGUUUCGAAAGGAACGCUAAUACCGCAUACGUCCUACGGGAGAAAGCAGGGGACCUUCGGGCCUUGCGCUAUCAGAUGAGCCUAGGUCGGAUUAGCUAGUUGGUGAGGUAAUGGCUCACCAAGGCGACGAUCCGUAACUGGUCUGAGAGGAUGAUCAGUCACACUGGAACUGAGACACGGUCCAGACUCCUACGGGAGGCAGCAGUGGGGAAUAUUGGACAAUGGGCGAAAGCCUGAUCCAGCCAUGCCGCGUGUGUGAAGAAGGUCUUCGGAUUGUAAAGCACUUUAAGUUGGGAGGAAGGGUUGUAGAUUAAUACUCUGCAAUUUUGACGUUACCGACAGAAUAAGCACCGGCUAACUCUGUGCCAGCAGCCGCGGUAAUACAGAGGGUGCAAGCGUUAAUCGGAAUUACUGGGCGUAAAGCGCGCGUAGGUGGUUUGUUAAGUUGGAUGUGAAAGCCCCGGGCUCAACCUGGGAACUGCAUCCAAAACUGGCAGGCUAGAGUACGGUAGAGGGUGGUGGAAUUUCCUGUGUAGCGGUGAAAUGCGUAGAUAUAGGAAGGAACACCAGUGGCGAAGGCGACCACCUGGACUGAUACUGACACUGAGGUGCGAAAGCGUGGGAGCAAACAGGAUUAGAUACCCUGGUAGUCCACGCCGUAAACGAUGUCAACUAGCCGUUGGAAUCCUUGAGAUUUUAGUGGCGCAGCUAACGCAUUAAGUUGACCGCCUGGGGAGUACGGCCGCAAGGUUAAAACUCAAAUGAAUUGACGGGGGCCCGCACAAGCGGUGGAGCAUGUGGUUUAAUUCGAAGCAACGCGAAGAACCUUACCAGGCCUUGACAUGCAGAGAACUUUCCAGAGAUGGAUCGGUGCCUUCGGGAACUCUGACACAGGUGCUGCAUGGCUGUCGUCAGCUCGUGUCGUGAGAUGUUGGGUUAAGUCCCGUAACGAGCGCAACCCUUGUCCUUAGUUACCAGCACGUUAUGGUGGGCACUCUAAGGAGACUGCCGGUGACAAACCGGAGGAAGGUGGGGAUGACGUCAAGUCAUCAUGGCCCUUACGGCCUGGGCUACACACGUGCUACAAUGGUCGGUACAGAGGGUUGCCAAGCCGCGAGGUGGAGCUAAUCUCACAAAACCGAUCGUAGUCCGGAUCGCAGUCUGCAACUCGACUGCGUGAAGUCGGAAUCGCUAGUAAUCGCGAAUCAGAAUGUCGCGGUGAAUACGUUCCCGGGCCU